ACUUAAUUAGUUUAAAGUAAAACAUUAACUUGUGGAGUUAAAGAUUAAUUUCAUUAAUUAAGUA
rnacentral:tRNA from 1 species